CGCAAUUGGGGUCCCGCAGAAGAUGUGGUAUGAUUGCCGAUGAGACAAUUAACUCUCCACAAGAGACCAACAUAACACAGAAAUUAACAACUAUAUAGGUCACCGUACGGCCUUCAACAAUGAGUAAAGCCCAUACCGCAUAGUCAGCUAUAAAAGGCCCCGCAAAGACAAUGUAAAACAAACGGGAAAACUAAGAGCCGUAUUUAUUUUAAAAUGAAUGAAAAACAAAUAUGUAACACAUCAACAAAAGACAACCACUGAAUUACGGGCUCCUAACUUGGGACAGGCACAUACAUAAAUAAUGUGGCGCGGGUUAAAAUGUUAGCGGGAUCCCAACUAUAAAUAUAUACAUGUAGUCUACAGCACUAGACAAAAUAUCUGUUUCAUUCCGAUGUAACUCGAUUCAAAGUAAAAGUGUGUUAAAAAAAAAUUAGAAAUCGGGAGAUAUGCCAUUCAGUAUCGUGUUAUCUUGAUAUUAGUACACAGCUGUGGAAUACAAAGAAAAAUUGACCACUUGCAGGGGAACACGAAACUGCAUUGAAAAUGAAAAAAAUAAAGAAUAGAAAAGAAAAAGAUAGGCUAACAAUUUAAGAAUAAAGAAUAGUGGGCUUCUAGAAUAUAAAGAAUAGAG
rnacentral:lncRNA from 1 species